UACGGAGGGUGCAAGCGUUAUUCGGAAUCACUGGGCGUAAAGGACGCGUAGGCGGGUUGCCAAGUCUGAUGUGAAAUCCUACAGCUUAACUGUAGAACUGCAUUGGAAACUGGUAACCUAGAGUAUGGGAGGGGGAGAUGGAAUUAGUGGUGUAGGGGUAAAAUCCGUAGAUAUCACUAGGAAUACCGAAAGCGAAGGCGAUCUCCUGGAACAUUACUGACGCUAAGGCGUGAAAGCGUGGGGAGCAAAC
rnacentral:rRNA from 1 species